rnacentral:tRNA from 1 species
GCCUUCCUGGCGCAAUGGGCAGACGCGCUGGUUUCAGAGACCAGAUGUUCCGGGUUCGAAUCCCGGGGAGGGCACCA